rnacentral:rRNA from 1 species
GAUGAACGCUUGCGGCGUGCCCAAUACAUGCAAGUCGAGCGAACGGACGAGAAGCUUGCUUCUCUGAUGUUAGCGGCGGACGGGUGAGUAACACGUGGAUAACCUACCUAUAAGACUGGGAUAACUUCGGGAAACCGGAGCUAAUACCGGAUAAUAUUUUGAACCGCAUGGUUCAAAAGUGAAAGACGGUCUUGCUGUCACUUAUAGAUGGAUCCGCGCUGCAUUAGCUAGUUGGUAAGGUAACGGCUUACCAAGGCAACGAUGCAUAGCCGACCUGAGAGGGUGAUCGGCCACACUGGAACUGAGACACGGUCCAGACUCCUACGGGAGGCAGCAGUAGGGAAUCUUCCGCAAUGGGCGAAAGCCUGACGGAGCAACGCCGCGUGAGUGAUGAAGGUCUUCGGAUCGUAAAACUCUGUUAUUAGGGAAGAACAUAUGUGUAAGUAACUGUGCACAUCUUGACGGUACCUAAUCAGAAAGCCACGGCUAACUACGUG